rnacentral:rRNA from 1 species
GACGUAGGGCGCGAGCGUUGUCCGGAUUUAUUGGGCGUAAAGAGCUCGUAGGCGGCUUGUUGCGUCAGCUGUGAAAACCCGCAGCUCAACUGUGGGCUUGCAGCUGAUACGGGCAGGCUUGAGUUCGGUAGGGGAGACUGGAAUUCCUGGUGUAGCGGUGAAAUGCGUAGAUAUCGAGAGGUACACCUGCGGCGAAGGCGGGUUGCUGGGCUGACACUGACGCUGAUGCGCGAAAGCUAGGGGAGCGAACGGG